CAGUGUUGGUCAGUCUUAAUAAAUUUCUCGCGUGGAAUGCAAGUCCUGUAAUAAUUUUUAAAAUAUUUAGUGUUGUGAAACCUGGCAAUAAAGUAAAAGCUUCAUAAAGAUUUGAAGGAGCAGUAUCCGAAAUUAAGAAUAUGGAUUUCCUAGUAAGCGCGUUGGCUCCAUUAGUGCCUAAAGUGGCGAUGCGUGAUUCUGCCCCGGCCCCGUUAGUUGUCGAGAAAAAGACAGUCGUGGAAGUUGUUACUAAAGCUGUUCCCGUCGGCCCUCCAGCCGUUAAGCCGCCCUUGCUAAAGAACAAAUUACCUUAUGAUAAUAUAACUUAUUAAUGAUGACAAUCAUUUACUCAUUGUACUAUUAUCAAAAAUUUUUUUGCAUUUAUUGAAUUUCUGUAAUUUGUACUUACAGCUCUACUGUGAGUUUUUUCAUGUUGUAUCUCAUUUUUUUCUAUUUUUUGUAAUAAAUACUCACUAAAGUUUUGUUUUAUUA